UGGGGAAUUUUGGACAAUGGACGCAAGUCUGAUCCAGCCAUGCCGCGUGCGGGAAGAAGGCCUUCGGGUUGUAAACCGCUUUUGUCAGGGAAGAAACGAGUUUCUCUAAUACAGAGACUUAAUGACGGUACCUGAAGAAUAAGCACCGGCUAACUACGUGCCAGCAGCCGCGGUAAUACGUAGGGUGCAAGCGUUAAUCGGAAUUACUGGGCGUAAAGCGUGCGCAGGCGGUUAUGUAAGACAGAUGUGAGAUCCCCGGGCUCAACCUGGGACCUGCAUUUGUGACUGCAUAGCUAGAGUACGGCAGAGGGGGAUGGAAUUCCGCGUGUAGCAGUGAAAUGCGUAGAUAUGCGGAGGAACACCGAUGGCGAAGGCAAUCCCCUGGGCCUAUACUGACGCUCAUGCACGAAAGCGUGGGGAGCAAACA
rnacentral:rRNA from 1 species